rnacentral:rRNA from 1 species
UACGUAGGGUGCGAGCGUUGUCCGGAAUUAUUGGGCGUAAAGAGCUCGUAGGCGGUUUGUUGCGUCGGCUGUGAAAACCUGAGGCUCAACCUCAGGCCUGCAGUCGAUACGAGCAGACUAGAGUGUUGCAGGGGAGACUGGAAUUCCUGGUGUAGCGGUGAAAUGCGCAGAUAUCAGGAGGAACACCGGUGGCGAAGGCGGGUCUCUGGGCAACAACUGACGCUGAGAAGCGAAAGCAUGGGGAGCGAACAGG